rnacentral:rRNA from 1 species
GAAAAGAUUUAUCGGUGUAAGAUGGACCCGCGUCUGAUUAGCUAGUUGGUGUGGUAACGGCAUACCAAGGCGACGAUCAGUAGCCGGCCUGAGAGGGUGAACGGCCACAUUGGGACUGAGAUACGGCCCAGACUCCUACGGGAGGCAGCAGUGGGGAAUAUUGCACAAUGGAGGCAACUCUGAUGCAGCGACGCCGCGUGAGUGAAGAAGUAUUUCGGUAUGUAAAGCUCUAUCAGUAGGGAAGAUAAUGACGGUACCUACAGAAGAAGCCCCGGCUAAAUACGUGCCAGCAGCCGCGGUAAUACGUAUGGGGCAAGCGUUAUCCGGAUUUACUGGGUGUAAAGGGAGUGUAGGCGGCAGUACAAGUCAGGAGUGAAAACUUGGGGCUCAACCCCAAGACUGCUUUUGAAACUGUACAGCUAGAGUGUAGGAAGGGCAAGCGGAAUUCCUGGUGUAGCGGUGAAAUGCGUAGAUAUCAGGAGGAACACCAGUGGCGAAGGCGGCUUGCUGGACUAUAACUGACGCUGAG